AACAGCACACGUGUUUCUCACAGUUCCGGAGGCUGGAAGUCCAAGAUCCCGGCCAGCAGGUUCAAGACCCAACCUCUGCAUCUGGCGAGAGCUGCUUCAGCUCCAUGCAUUUGAGGUUCACCGAUCUGAGCGUUCCUGUUGGAUGGCUACGUGGCUGGCUGGGCCACGGUCGACGCGGAAGGCUCACAGACCUCGUGCCUCGUGGAACCAGGAAACCCGCACAAUCCGGUCAACUCAGGCCCAAGCCUCUCCAGACUUCACCCGGCACUCUCGUUAAAGAUUUUUUAAAUCCAUAUAUAUACAAUAUUUUUUUUUAAUUUGGGGAUAUAAAACACAUAC